rnacentral:lncRNA from 1 species
UAAUUUAGGAUAUGUCUGCAAUUUUUCAGGUCAUUCGGACGUGUUUUGUAUAGGUUUUGAGUCGAAUGAGAGUUUGGCUAAGUUUUGGAGAUUUUAGGUGCAAAUCAUUGAUCAAAUGGUGUUUCCGGCGUUGUAUUAGGUGAUCUAAGGAUUGAUUCAAGUCCUAAUGAUGUUAAGGGAUAGGUUUGUUGGUUUGGUUGAAGUUCCGGGGGCCUCGGGCUUGUUUUGGAUGCUUGACGGAGUGAUUUUUGGAAGAAAUAUUUCUGCUGCUUCUGUUGUUUCCACGUCUGCGGAAGGGAGACCGCGUAAGCGGUUACCGCAGACGCGACCAUGCGAUCGCGGACGCGGUCUGGGACUGCAGAAGCGGAUAGGGAACGGCAUAAGCAGCCAUCGCGGAUGCGGCCGUUUGUCCGUGGAAGUGGAAAUUGAGUUUUUUAAUUGAAACCACUAAAGCGACUUUUUGACCGCGAAAGCGGGACAACAGAAGCGGUCCCUGGAGACGUAAAAGCGAAAAUCGUUGUAGAGAAAAGGGUUUUAUCCGAGGCUUAAGUUCAUAAGUUGAAAAAACAAAUUUAGCUCGGACCAAGGCGAUUUUGGGAGGGUUUUGAAGAGGAGACUAUUGGGUAAUGUUUCUAUGAUCCUUUCUAGCUUUAUUUCAUCAUUUAGUUGUUAAAUUCAUCUUUUAAAUUCAAAUUACGGUCCAAAAAUGGAGGAAAUGUGUGAAAGUUCUUUGGCUAAUCAAUUGGGUUUUUGAGGGAGCAUUUGAUCUCCGAUUUGAGAGAUUUAUAUAUGGUUAGACUCGUGAGAGUACGUGAUUUCUGAAAAUGUGAAAAUUAUUCGAUUCCUAGACGUUGUCCUGAGGGUUAUUUUGGUUACUUUACCUGUUCUCGCACCUUAGAUUUAAUAUUAAUAAUGUAAUCAGUUGCUUGCGAUGUUAUUUACAAUAUGUAAUUGGUUUGAAUAGAUUUGGGCCACUCGAAGUCAGAUACUCAUGGCAAAGGCGUAGUUCCUUAGCGGUUUUGUACCAAAUUGAGGUAAGUGGCUUGUCUAACCUUGUGUGGGGGACUUCUCCCCUUAGGAUAUAUUAAUUGUUGUUUAAGGGCCUUGUUCGCGAGGUG